rnacentral:rRNA from 1 species
AGAGCGAACGCUGGCGGCAGGCUUAACACAUGCAAGUCGAGCGGGCGUAGCAAUACGUCAGCGGCAGACGGGUGAGUAACGCGUGGGAACGUACCUUUGGCUCGGAACAACACAGGGAAACUUGUGCUAAUACCGGAUAAGCCCUUACGGGGAAAGAUUUAUCGCCGAAAGAUCGGCCCGCGUCUGAUUAGCUAGUUGGUGAGGUAACGGCUCACCAAGGCGACGAUCAGUAGCUGGUCUGAGAGGAUGAUCAGCCACAUUGGGACUGAGACACGGCCCAAAACUCCUACGGGAGGCAGCAGUGGGGAAUAUUGGACAAUGGGCGCAAGCCUGAUCCAGCCAUGCCGCGUGAGUGAUGAAGGCCCUAGGGUUGUAAAGCUCUUUUGUGCGGGAAGAUAAUGGACGGUACCGACAAGAAUAAGCCCCGGCUAACUUCGUGCCAGCAGCCGC